rnacentral:rRNA from 1 species
UUCGCAAUGCCCGAAAGGGUGACGAUGCGACGCCGCGUGAGCGAAGAAGGCCCUAGGGUUGUAAAGCUCUGUCGAGGGUUAUGAAAUAUAGAUGGGUUAAUACCCCAUUUAUUUGACAAAAGCCCAAAAGGAAGCCACGGCUAACUCUGUGCCAGCAGCCGCGGUAAUACAGAGGUGGCGAGCGUUGUUCGGUAUUAUUGGGCGUAAAGAGCACGUAGGUGGUUUUGUAAGUCAGGUGUGAAAGCCUUCUGUUCAAAGGAAGAACGGCAUCUGAAACUGCAGAUCUUGAGUGUAGGAGGGGAGAGUGGAACCUCUGGUGGAGCGGUGAAAUGCGUAGAUAUCAGAAGGAACGUCGGCGGCGAAAGCGACUCUCUGGCCUAUUACUGACACUGAGUGUGCGAAAGUUAGGGGAGCAAACGGGAUUAGAUACCCCGGUAGUCCUAACCGUAAACGAUGGGCACUAAGUAGAGGGGUUUU